GGCCUGGGGCUGGAACAUAAAUCCCUGAGGAUCUGAAGAUCUGAAGAAUGCAAACUUUUCACAUGUUCUAAUGUGCUAAAGAUACAGUGAUAUGGAAUUGAUGCCCAUCCAACUGUAAUUAAUUUAUUCUGUUUGGAAUCUGUGAAAGGAAAACAGGGUAGGAGCAAAAGGAAAUUCUCUUCCAACAUUUUUAUAUCUUCACCCAAACAGUAUCUUUCAUCCAAAGAUGAUGAGGAGAUGGCUUCAGAGAAUUGGGAUGCCCUUGGGGCAUCAGGCUGUGGAUGACUGGUUUCAGGACUGAGAUCUGUACCCAGCCAAAGUGUGCAAAGCAGGUUCCAGCUGUAGGAAUGGAUACAUUGCAAUAAGCAGUCAAGAGCAGGAGGCUUUUAAUAGAACUGCAUUCAUUGUUCCUCUGCCUCAGAUGUGGGCAACUAGAUACAACUGCUUCAAAGAUCGCUUCUACUGAACACAGAAGCAAAGCUACUCACUGUGUCUUAUUCCACCAAUGCCUGGUCAAAUCACAAUCCACAAAGUACAUUCUGAGUUAAUGACUGUUUAGCGUUCUUCAAUUAUACCAAAAUUAAGCAUUAAAAAGUCUUUGUAUAAAGCACA